rnacentral:rRNA from 1 species
GACGAACGCUGGCGGCGCGCUUAACACAUGCAAGUCGAGCGAGAACCAAGCCUUCGGGCUUGGGGACAGCGGCGAACGGGUGAGUAACACGUGAGUAAUCCACCCUUGGUACCGGGAUAGCUCGGGGAAACUCGAAUUAAUACCGGAUAGCCCAUUAGCCUUUCGGGGCGAAUGGAAAAGGUAGCUUCGGCCUCCGACCAAGGACGAGCUCGCGGCGGAUUAGCUUGUUGGCGGGGUAAUGGCCCACCAAGGCGACGAUCCGUAGCUGGUCUGAGAGGACGAUCAGCCACACUGGGACUGAGACACGGCCCCAGACUCCUACGGGAGGCAGCAGUAGGGAAUUGUUCGCAAUGGGCGCAAGCCCUGACGACGCAACGCCGCGUGGAGGAUGAAGA